UCCUGUUGAUGUGAGGGCCCCAAG
rnacentral:piRNA from 1 species